AGUCUUCGGAUGUUGAGACCGGCGCACGGGUGCGUAACGCGUAUGCAAUCUACCUUUUGCAGGGGAAUAGCCCAGAGAAAUUUGGAUUAAUGCCCCAUAGUAUAAUGAUAAGGCAUCUUAUUAUUAUUAAAGUCACAACGGCAAAAGAUGAGCAUGCGUCCCAUUAGCUAGUUGGUAAGGUAACGGCUUACCAAGGCAAUGAUGGGUAGGGGUCCUGAGAGGGAGAUCCCCCACACUGGUACUGAGACACGGACCAGACUCCUACGGGAGGCAGCAGUGAGGAAUAUUGGACAAUGGGCGCAAGCCUGAUCCAGCCAUGCCGCGUGCAGGAAGACGGUCCUAUGGAUUGUAAACUGCUUUUAUACAGGAAGAAACACUCCCUCGUGAGGGAACUUGACGGUACUGUAAGAAUAAGGAUCGGCUAAC
rnacentral:rRNA from 1 species